GUGCUGCUGCUUUCCUGUGCCUGUUUCCUCUCCGUCUGGCCGUCAACACUCUCGUUUCGUGUGGGGGAGCAUCACCUUCCUUUCGGUCUGCCGCGACGCGACUGCACACGCUUUAUACGAACACCCGCACGAACUCUUGAGCACAUGCUCGCUAAGCCUCUCGGCUUGGGUUCCGGGGGCGCGCUGCGUCGCACUGCCGGCGCCGCGGCUGGGGUCGUUUCGAUGCUCCCAUCGGCGGCGGCUGUCGUCGAGUCGCGUCGCACGCACUCCAAGGUGACGCAUCCACCGUAUCCUUCUCCCCACCAGAACGAUCGUGCACGCCAAGCUUCCGCAGGGCUGUCGCCGAGCAGCGACCUCUUUGCUGCGUCACCCUGCAGCGCACCCAUGUCGCUGUGCAGCUGCGGCUGCCCGCACCCCACGAAGCCGACGCUUGACGUGCCUUCCAUGUACUUCUCCACCACACCGGAGUUGCUGUGCAACCGCAACAUGUCGGAACCCUCGGCGAAUGCGACUCUCACGAAGGAAAAGCUUGCUAGCCUCGUUGGCGGCCGCCUUGUUCAGUCUGUGCAGCGUGAGCAGCCGCCGCGCGGUAGCGGUAUCCAGCCGCUGCUGGACUUCAACAAGCACUGGGCCGGCGAGAUCGUGCAGCUGAACCCGGACUACUUUGUGGAGCUUGCGAAGCAGCAGAAGCCGCAGUACCUGUGGAUCGGCUGCAGUGACAGCCGCGUGCCCGCCAACGAAAUCGUCGGUCUCUACCCCGGCGACAUCUUUGUUCACCGUAACAUCGCGAACAUCGUCUGCAACAGCGACCUCAACGCGCUCGCUGUUAUCCAGUACGCAAUCGACUGCCUGAAGGUGGAACACGUGAUUGUAUCGGGGCAUUACAAGUGCGGUGGCGUGACAGCCGCCCUGCACGAGGACCGCGUGGGUCUUGCUGAUCACUGGAUCCUGCACGUGUCGGCAGUGAAGAAGCGCCACUGGCGGCGCAUGCUCACUGAGCUUCCCACGCGCAACCACCUCGACGCCCUGUGCGAGCUGAAUGUCCUGGCGCAGAUGGAGCACGUUGUGGAGACGCACCUGAUCCAGCGUGUAUGGUCAAGGCAGAACGAAGAGGAUGCCGCGGCGAAGCGCGAGAACCGCCCGUCGCAGAACAAGCCCGAGAACGAGGUGGAGAUUCAUGGCUGGGUAUACGGGCUGGAGGAUGGCUUGAUUCGGCCGCUUCUGACGCUGAACCGCCGGUCAAACGCGGAGAAGGAGCUGCACAACGCCGCUGAUGCACUCUUCUGGCGCUACGGGCAGCUGUAGUUGCUCCUUUCCUCCUCUGCGCGUUCGCCUGCCGGCUGCUACGUGACGUGCGAUACAUGCAGAUGGAGAGGCAGGAGGAGGGGGCCGAGGAUUGUCCUUGGGGAAGGGGUGAUCAUGGAUGGAUGAAGUGGCGAGCUUGCGCGGGGGCAAGGGGGCGCUGAAGGGCAGAGGAAGGCCGCGGAGUCGAAGGUUGCAGCGGUGCUGCACGUAAACGUACAACAGGCUCUCUCUCUUUCCGUUGGCACCGUGCAUGUGCGCCAAACGCUUACUCGGCGUGGCCCGUUCCCCUCGACGCGCUCGCACAACUCGCCUCUCUGCCUUCGCUUCUUUUUACUUUCGCCCCUGCCCCCUUCGCAUGCCCUCUUGCUGUGCGCCUUUCAUGAGCCCACCACCUCUGUGGGUGCCUCAUCACCUUCCCCUCACCCCUCGGUCGGCGCUCUCUGGCCCUCUAG
rnacentral:misc_RNA from 1 species